GAUGAACGCUGGCGGCGUGCCUAAUACAUGCAAGUCGAGCGAACAGACGAGGAGCUUGCUCCUCUGACGUUAGCGGCGGACGGGUGAGUAACACGUGGAUAACCUACCUAUAAGACUGGGAUAACUUCGGGAAACCGGAGCUAAUACCGGAUAAUAUAUUCAACCGCAUGGUUCAAUAGUGAAAGACGGUUUUGCUGUCACUUAUAGAUGGAUCCGCGCUGCAUUAGCUAGUUGGUAAGGUAACGGCUUACCAAGGCAACGAUGCGUAGCCGACCUGAGAGGGUGAUCGGCCACACUGGAACUGAGACACGGUCCAGACUCCUACGGGAGGCAGCAGUAGGGAAUCGUCCGCAAUGGGCGAAAGCCUGACGGAGCAACGCCGCGUGAGUGAUGAAGGUCUUCGGAUCGUAAAACUCUGUUAUUAGGGAAGAACAAAUGUGUAAGUAACUAUGCACGUCUUGACGGUACCUAAUCAGAAAGCCACGGCUAACUACGUG
rnacentral:rRNA from 1 species